GUGAGCAGGAGGAAACUGGCAUCAGUGUUAUCAAAUGAUAAACCAACAUGAGGGAUGGAGGCUUGUUGUUUAAUUGAAAGAGGGCAGGGACAAGGCAACACAAAUCCAAAAGGCUUCCAAUGCACAAGGACUCAAACAGCAACCAUGGGAAUGAAGGCUACUGGGGUUCAAGUGAUGCUUCCGACGAGGUGCGUUGCUCUUUGAUGUGAAAAAGGAAGGUUGAGAGAGCUCUCUCCAGCACAUGCCACCCUCAUUAGUGUCCAGCAGCUGAAGACGCGAGGUCACAAACCCAAUGAGUUGCACAUUUCAUUCAGCUUUGCCGACAUGGAAAGAUGACCACUGUGACCUAAUGUUCGGUGCGGUCUGACAGCACAUUGUGUGCAUCAUACAAAGUGGCUUGAAUAACCCUUGAACCUUGUGUGGAGUGCAUUAUUUUUUAUGAAAUUGCCAACUUUUCAACAUUCUUGUAGAUUUUAUUCAUUCAAUAAAUUGUGCAUUUUUCUAAAAAAGGGAACA
ensembl:lncRNA